ACUGGAGGUGGGAUUUCUCAGCCCAGAUUGUGAGAGGGUACAGUCCAGGUUGAGGGACCUCACCAGUGCACG
rnacentral:pre_miRNA from 1 species